UCCCUGGUGGUCUAGGGAAGACUUUGCACUCUCGAUGCAGGAGCCUAGGUUUGAUCCCCAGGGAA
rnacentral:tRNA from 1 species